rnacentral:rRNA from 1 species
GUUCCUGGCUCAGGAUGAACGCUGGCGGCGUGCCUAAUACAUGCAAGUCGAACGCUUUGUGGUUCAACUGAUUUGAAGAGCUUGCUCAGAUAUGACGAUGGACAUUGCAAAGAGUGGCGAACGGGUGAGUAACACGUGGGAAACCUACCUCUUAGCAGGGGAUAACAUUUGGAAACAGAUGCUAAUACCGUAUAACAAUGACAACCGCAUGGUUGUUAUUUAAAAGAUGGUUCUGCUA